UCCUGGUUUCCCAGGCAGUCCCAUCAAAGUGCUCCACCUACGUGGUUAGCAACUGACGGCAAGGGUUGCGCUCGUUAAAGGACUUAACCCAACAUCUCACGACACGAGCUGACGACAGCCAUGCAGCACCUGUGCAUGUGUUUGAACCGAAGCUCAAAAGACUGUAUUUCUACAGCUGUCACAAGCAUGUCAAGCCUAGGUAAGGUUCCUCGCGUAGUAUCGAAUUAAACCACAUGUUCCACCGCUUGUGCGGACCCCCGUCAAUUCCUUUGAGUUUUAGUCUUGCGACCGUAUUCCCCAGGCGGAUCACUUAUCGCGUUAGCUACGACACCAAUCCCGCAGUGCGGGACUGACGUCUAGUGAUCAUCGUUUACGGCGUGGACUAC
rnacentral:misc_RNA from 1 species